GGGCGGUUAGCUCAGCGGUAGAGCACUCGCCUUACAAGCGAGGGGUCACUGGUUCGAACCCAGUACCGCCCAC
rnacentral:tRNA from 2 species